GGCCUGAUGCCACGUCUCUGGUAGCCAAAGCCUUUACAGGAGAUGCUACAUUUUGCUUACAGAUAUUUUCACAUUUGAUAGGUACCUGUGGCUGUGAUUUAGUCGAUGCACAAAACUGUUUUUUUGCGAUUACAUUU
rfam:Hordeum vulgare subsp. vulgare, WGS project CAJW01000000 data, contig: morex_contig_1569478